CAUCGAGCGCAGCACAAUCGUCGCCCUCCAGUCUCGUUCGUUCAUUCGUCUGCUCGACGCUCCAUUAAUCGAGUCUCGCGUUCGAGGGGAAGUCAGUCAGCUGGGGAGGGCGAUGAGGGGGUGAGUGCAAAAAAAGAGAGAGAGAGAAAGAAAGCAAGCAAGAAAGAGAAAAACUGCCUCUCCUUCUUCCGACAGAGCACCUCCAUCCCCAUGAUCUCAUGAAUAAAUUAUAGCGACUCAUUGUGCAAUAGAGGGAGGAAUGCAGUCGAGCAGACUCGCGCGCGCAGGAGCAGAAGCAGCAGCAGCACAAGAGCAACCGCGACUCUUUGGAUUUACACAAAAACAUUUGGUUAAAACACACGAAUGCUAGGAGACAGCACGCUCAGGGCGUUUUAUUCCACAACACGUGGAUCAUAUACACAGAAAUCCGAGACAUUCACAAAUAAUAUGAUCCAGUUUUAGCGGUUUUAACGUACUCGCACGGCUUCCGAUAUCUGAGGUUGCGUUUUUAUCCACUCCAACCAAAGCGAGGGUCGAAAUAUAUCCCCAUCUUUUGUUUUUGAACGUUUCGAGGGGAUUUUCUUCCAAGGAGAGCCGAGCGCGGAAUCAAAUCCAGCCAAACAGAUCAACCUCGGGCAGCCGGAGUGGAAGACUGCCUGCUAGGUUGAGAACGAUUCCGGGGUGCCCCACUAGACCCCUAGGUCCUCCGAUGAACCCCAUCAACUCCAUGAAACCUGCCCUGCCUCCAACGCCACACAGGUCAGUAGUUCCUGCGCGUCAGCUCGGUGCAGCUACAAGUCAAAGUGUGACUCGCGCCCACAGUUUCCUCCCUAACGACAUUCUGAACUCUCAAACUGACACCUGCUUCCCUGAGCGCUGCACCUAACAGUCUGAACCCUACUGCUGAUGUUUUGAUUGUUGAUUUUGCAUAUUUUAACUACUAUUUGGGAAUCACUUCAGGGAAGCAAUGUGUUUUUAUUGUUUUGCAGCCUUAUCUGGAUUAGAUUAGCCUUGGCGUGCAGUUUAAUUGUGUUUUUUUUUCGUUUUGUCAGUUAGGUUGUUGUGUUUUGCUUCUUUGAGGCUGUUUAAGGUAUAGACACAUUAGGGCUGCACAAUUAAUCGAAUUUCUAAUCGCGAUUACAAUUACGGAUGCCACAAUUAGGUAAUUGUUCAAAGCAGCAAUUAAUCGUUCAAAGUCCACUGUUAUUCUGCGUGCUUAUUAAGAUGCGUUUUUCUUUUUACAUGUUAUCUUAAGGGGUUUUGCAUUAUUUUAAUUUUAGUUUUAGUAUAACAUUAUAAUACCUAUAAUACCUAAUGCAUAUUUUUUUACUUUUUAUUUAUA
rnacentral:lncRNA from 1 species